UGCUGCAUUCACAAACACCCCGCACUCCAAGGUCUACUCGGGGCAAAACUGUCCGACUUGAUCCUCCAUCCCCACGGGCCUUUCACCCUCCUUGGGCCAUUCCAGAUGCCAGUACUCAGUGCUGGACUUAGGAUGGAGCAGCUAAUGCCAAGAGACGAACUGAACACCACAUUGCCUAGCAGCCAAACGGNCGCAGUUCGGUGCUGGGCUAAUCCCCCUUCASUCGCAGUUACUAGGGGAAUCCUGGUUAGUUUCUUUUCCUCCGCUUAGUGAUAUGCUUAAGUUCAGCGGGUAAUCA
rnacentral:rRNA from 1 species